CCUACGGGGGGCAGCAGUGGGGAAUAUUGGACAAUGGGGGAAACCCUUAUCCAGCGACGCCGCGUGAGGGAAGAAGGUUUUCGGAUUGUAAACCUCUGUUAGUGGGGACGAUAAUGACGGUACCCACGGAGGAAGCCACGGCUAACUACGUGCCGGCAGCCGCGGUAAUACGUAGGUGGCAAGCGUUGUCCGGAAUUACUGGGAGUAAAGGGAGCGUAGGCGGGAUGUCAAGUCAGAAGUGAAAAUUAUGGGCUCAACCCAUGACCUGCUUUUGAAACUGAUAUUCUUGAGUGAGCUAGAGGCAGGCGGAAUGCCUGGUGUAGCGGUGAAAUGCGUAGAUAUCAGGAGGAACACCAGUGGCGAAGGCGGCUUGCUGGGCUUUUACUGACGCUGAGGCUCGAAAGCGUGGGGAGCAAACAGGAUUAGAUACCCGGGUAGUC
rnacentral:rRNA from 1 species